CGCGAUAAAAUUUUAGUUGUAAACAAGAUAUCGUUGGACUUCAUUGGCAAACACCGAAAUGAAAAAUUAAUUAAAAAUCAUGUAAUAAUAGAUACAGAAAAACUCACUGCACGAUUGCAAUUGCAAUAUUAUAAACACCUACCAAAUUCUAUGUAAAAACCUCAAAAAAUCACAGAAUUGUCGGAGUAAGGUGUCGAGUGAACCUCGUCAUUGAAGUCACCACAAUGGACGCGUUUGAAUUUAAAUUCAAUGAUAAACUAUAUUGCAUAUGAUGAAAAACCGUUCUGAGCGAAUAAUGUCCGUCAGUCAAAAAUAAUAAAUAUAUUCAUAUAACCUAUUACAUUAGAGUAAUUUAUUUUACUGUUAGAAAAGCCGUGGAAUGAUUCAAUUUUUUCAAAAACAUAGCAUUAAUUAUCAUCAAUUAUUAUUAUAAUAAAUAAUUUAUAUCACGUAUUAUUGUUAUUAACCUUAAGAUAAUCCUGACUUACCGUAGAACGAUGUAGCUAGGAACAGAAUGAACCCAAGCAAGCAAUACCUUUAAAUUAACCUAAACGCGUAUUAAAAAUUUCUUUAAACAAUUUAAUAAUAUAAGUACAAUUUUCAAUCUUUGAAAAUAAUAUUUUUGUAUUACAACAAAAUAACUAUAAAAUUAUUAUUCUUCGUUUAAACAUCUA